rnacentral:rRNA from 1 species
AACGAACGCUGGCGGCGUGCCUAACACAUGCAAGUCGAACGUGAUCCAGAGCUUGCUCUGGUGAAAGUGGCGCACGGGUGAGUAACGCGUAGAUAAUCUGCCUGAUGAUUUGGGAUAACACUUCGAAAGGGGUGCUAAUACCGGAUAAGCCCACGGAGUCCUUGGAUUCUGCGGGAAAAGGAGGGGACCUUCGGGCCUUCCGUCAUCAGAUGAGUCUGCGUACCAUUAGCUAGUUGGUAGGGUAAAGGCCUACCAAGGCGACGAUGGUUAGCUGGUCUGAGAGGGUGAUCAGCCACACUGGAACCGAGACACGGUCCAGACUCCUACGGGAGGCAGCAGUGGGGAAUUUUGCGCAAUGGGGGAAACCCUGAACCAGCGACGCCGCGUGAGGGAAGAAGGUCUUUGGAUCGUAAACCUCUUUUGCCAGGGAAGAAGGUGGGCGCGAGCCUGCUUGACGGUACCUGGCGAAUAAGCCCCGGCUAACUACGUGCCAGCAGCCGCAGUAAAAC